UUCCGGUUGAUCCUGCCGGACCUGACUGCUAUCGGAUUGAUACUAAGCCAUGCGAGUCAUUGUAGCAAUACAAGGCAUACGGCUCAGUAACGCGUAGUCAACCUACCCUAUGGACGGAAAUAACCUCGGGAAACUGAGAAUAAUAUCCGAUAGAACAUUAUGCCUGGAAUGGUUUAUGUUCCAAAUGAUUUAUCGCCGUAGGAUGGGACUGCGGCCUAUCAGUUUGUUGGUGAGGUAAUGGCCCACCAAGACUAUUACAGGUACGGGCUCUGAGAGGAGUAGCCCGGAGAUGGGUACUGAGACACGGACCCAGGCCCUAUGGGGCGCAGCAGGCGAGAAAACUUUGCAAUGUGCGAAGGCACGACAAGGUUAAUCCGAGUGAUUUCUGCUAAAGAAAUCUUUUGUUAGUCCUAGAAACACUAACGAAUAAGGGGUGGGCAAGUUCUGGUGUCAGCCGCCGCGGUAAAACCAGCACCUCAAGUGGUCAGGAUGAUUAUUGGGCCUAAAGCAUCCGUAGCCGGCUCUGUAAGUCCUCGGUUAAAUCUGUACGCUUAACGUACAGGCUGCCGGGAAUACUGCAUAGCUAGGGAGUGGGAGAGGUAGACGGUACUCGGUAGGAAGGGGUAAAACCCUUUGAUCUAUUGAUGACCACCUGUGGCGAAGGCGGUCUACCAGAACACGUCCGACGGUGAGGGAUGAAAGCUGGGGGAGCAAACCGGAUUAGAUACCCGGGUAGUCCCAGCUGUAAACUAUGCAAACUCAGUGAUGCAUUGGCUUGUGGCCAAUGCAGUGCUGCAGGGAAGCCGUUAAGUUUGCCGCCUGGGAAGUACGUACGCAAGUAUGAAACUUAAAGGAAUUGGCGGGGGAGCACCACAAGGGGUGAAGCCUGCGGUUCAAUUGGAGUCAACGCCGG
rnacentral:rRNA from 2 species